UUUCAAACACACGUAUAUAUGUCUAUACGAAACUAACCUAUAAACAUAUCUAAGCAAACGACUAUUGAACGUACUAUUGAAUACUUUAUACAUAUUUUACUAUGUACUUUAUAUCUUUACGUACAUAACUGAAGAAAUGGAAUUUAAACAGAAAUUUGUUUCAUCUACGAGAUAUUACGUGGCCAGUAUCGCCGAUAUCGGAAACCAGUUCCGUCAAAGCAAUCGAUCUAUUCUGCGCUAGAACUGGGAAACACCGGGGGAAGUGGAAGUAGAAAAGGAGAAAGAAAGAGCGAGUGAGUUCAAUUUGCAAAAUUACGAGGUACCAUGGAAAAAAUUGGCGGUCGCGUAACAACGCGCUUGCGUGAACUAUGGAACGGUGACCUAUAGUCAAUCCAUUGCGUACAAUCACUUGCUUCGUAAAAAUUAAUCUAGCAUAUAUUAUUUUAUUAUGCAAUUGUACUUGUACUUGUAAUUUAUAAAAAAUAAAUACGCUUCUUUCAACUA